CCCUGACUCACAAACCCUGGGAUCAUGACCUGAGCCCAAGUCAAGAGUCAGACACUCAACCAACUGAGCCACCCAGGCACCCCUACGCAAGAAUUUUCUACAGGUGAAUGUAAGGCCUUCACUCAGUGUCCAAAUUUCAGGUCAGCACAGUGGCAUGAUAAAAACCAAACACUUCUUCCUUUUCUCAGGAGCUUACUAGGUACAGUCAAACACCCCUUGUGGCUACAGCAUUCCCAGCAGGUGGGGGUCCAGGCACUAGCUGAUACCAUCUGACACUCCUGCUCUGUUCCCUUAGCUAGUAAACCGAGUACUUUUACAGGCUUUGUGCCACCUAAAUUUCACAUCAACCACAUAAAGCAGGCAAGAAAUAUUAAAAUUUCUCAUUUUAUAAAUGAGGAAACAAAGGCUGAUGGAGGUUAAAUACCUCCCCCCACAGCUUUGGGAAAGAAUGAAGGACUUGGGACGAGACCUCAGGUCUCUGACAUCUUACCCAGUACUGGUCUUCCCCACAGGUUUGCCUUCACAGGGAACUACCUGGCUCUACCUAACCAAGACUCAAAUAUGUUGUUCUCAACAUCUCAACAUCACAGAAGGACAUAAUUUACAGUACACAUUGGCCUAGAAAAGUCCGCAGUGAUAAUGCCACAUAUAUUUAGAAGGAACACACAAAAAAUUUAUUCCUGUAAAUACCUCAAGUUUUACUGGGAAAAAAAAAUGGUUCUAUCUGGGAAAGAAUAAAAAUAAAUUGCAUUAACCAUAUGAUACUAAAACAUAAUUGAAGAUGAUUUUCUAUUACUAUUAUAUUUCCAGCUCAAGUAUCCUUUUGAAAAAAGUAUUUCUAUCACCUCUUUUUCUUCAAUUAAGUUUCUAAAACUAAGUAAGAAAGUACUUCUUGUGACCAGUCCUCAUAUGAGGGUCCAGUCCCAUUCUUUUUCGUUGUUGCAGCAAGCUCCCAGCUGGCUGUUUUUAGCAGUUACUUGGAAACUUAACAGUCUUUAAAGAGUGACUUUGAUUUUCUUAUUACAGAUUCUAGCCUAAUGUUCUCUCUCUCUUUUCACUGACGCGACAAAUCAGAGAAAAGAUAAAAUAAUAAAAUACUAAGGAUUAUUUAGCGGACAGUUUUUGCUUUUAACAUAGCAUUUGGUUUGAUAAAGAGAGAUCACUUGGAAAUAUCCAAAAAACAUACAUGAAAAAUUUCUAGUGCAUUUUUUAUUCAGCAAAUCUACUGACGUGUCUAUUCAAUGCUAGGCUGAAUGGAACUAUCUCAUAGUUCAUCAGUAGUCCUUGAUCAAUUGACCAGCUGAUCAACUAUCAUCAACAGUGGAUAGGUUUUACUGCAGAAUUUUUCAGGAUUGAAAAAAAAGGACUUAUAAGUAGGUAUUAGUAUGUCAGCAUUUAAAAAUUUGCUUUGGUAACUGUUUCAUUAAGAAGCUGACAACAUUAAGGGAAAAUUAAAGCUCUACUUGAGCCACUCUUCCUUCUAGAUUAUACAGCCUUCCCUUCAGCUACCCCUCAUGCAACCUUUCUCUGUGCUAAGUAAAAUUGCAAUAGUCCUCUUUCUUAAAGUGAACAUAACAUCAACAACAAAUUACUAUGAUGAGGAUCAAAGCCUGAUUCUGAAAAACCAUCAUCAAGUUUCAUAUAGAAUUAUGCGUGGACAUAGCUCAAAACAAUGGCCAACAAUUAAAAUUUUUUUAGCGUCUACCUGCCCCUGGUUAGCUGCAAAAAUAAAACACAUUUCUAGAUUCUCUGUGACGCAACAUCUCUGCCAAUCAUAUUUCUCCUAUAGAUGGGAAAAAGGGGACAGGCAGUAGGCAAAACUCUUGUUUGCUCUGUAAUGCCCUUGCAAUAUUCCCCGUAAAGAUUGAAGACCGGUAAGUACCACUCCUGAGAGCUUUGUGAGUGAUCUACACAUAGCAAGUAGUUAAUUUCAGCAGGUUUACAAGUUUAGUUUGAGUGGGUAUGGUGUAUAAAGGCAUCAUCUUACAGAGAUUUUAAAAUCCCCUGAACAAUCCAAGUAAAAUAAAAUACUGGCCAAAGAAAUAUAAUAAAUAUAAUUUUAAAAAAAUAAAAAAUAAAAAAACAAAAUCCCCUGAACAUCCUCUUAAAUAGUCUGCAAAUAGUCCCAGCUAGACUGACUACAUUGUCAAAAUCUCUGGAGUGAGCAAUCCCUGUUUCCUUUCCAUCUUCUCUACUCAACUGCCCACUCUUCCUGUCAAGUCAGUGUAUUUCAAUAUCCCUCUCUUUCUGCCCCCACGCCCCACCCAACCUUUGUGGUUCGUCUCUAGGUCAUUUUCUGGCUUUACUUCUUCAAAUUUUAUAAAGAUUGAAUCACUUACAUGCCUAAAAUGACUUAAGAGCUUAUAGCAAAGUGUACAAUUCCUAUACUGUGACUUCAUAAGGUCAUAAUUAAUACUGAAAAGUCAUCAUGAUCUAAAAUAUAUUUAAAAAAGUAUUUAAACAAAGUCCAGUGGCUGCCUUUUCCAAAUGAGUAAGGACCCAUGAGGACAGUACAAAGCAGUACUAAGUCUCUUGACUGCUACAGUAUUAGCUUUCUACAGACUCUCUGUUUGGCAUAACCACUUAAUAAUAUUCAAGAUACACAAGUUUUAAAUGAAUAUCUUCUUUUUAAAAAACCUUCACUCCCAUGAUAGCAGCACCUAUAUAAUGUUGAACUUUACUUUUGCCAGGGAAUAAAACAUAUGUGCUUUUCUGCUAACCCACGGACAGUGCUGGCUUAUCUAUUUUGAAAUCAAAGGGAAACCAGUUUUAUAAAAUUCCAAUCAUGUCUAUAAUACAUAAAUGAGGAACAAAGGGGUCAGAGAGUUAUGGAAUGAUCUACUGUCUAAAGAAAUGUCAGUCACAUAAACUAAGAAUGGUUCUGCCUAAAGAACUGAUAGGAUUAGUUUAAAACAGCAAAAACAACACAACAGGACUCAAAAAGCUACAAAAUUUUCUCGACUGAUGUUAUGAAAGAAUACUUGUGAGGCUACAAAUUCAAGUCCAGUUGAACCCCAUUGUGAGGUCCAAUCUCGGUCCUGGUAAAUCGUACCUAAGUCUCCAACCACAAGAUAGACUGAAUCAACAUAAUGGGGUUGAUGAGAGCAACUUCAGGACCUGUGUGGGGGCAGGAGAAGAGGUACUUCGAAGUGCAAGAUUUUCUUCAGGAUGGCUCAAUGGUCUUUAGUUUUAGUGAAAUUGGGUUGUUCUCUUAUUUUUAUGAACGAACAAGAAAUUUCUAGUCAUUGUGAAAAAAAUACAGCUGAAUAAAGAUCACACUUUGGCUGCACGAGUGAUGCAAGUAUGGUAUUAGCUACUGGAGGGUCAGAUGUAGGUAGUAUGGCUCCCUGGAACGCUUGAAUAAGCAAACCAUUUGGUCCUGAGAUAGCUCAGAUACAUGAAUGGUAGUUGCGGGGGAGUAAGGUGUCCCAUCAGCUUCCAAUUAUUCAGACUAAGAUCCUUCCCUGCUUUGUAGCAUUACAAUUAAAAAUGUAUCAAAUGAAUGAACUAGAAGAGUUUGAGGGCUCUGGGGAAUUUCCCCACACAUUCUCCUGAUACACACAUUCAAAUUUGAGAUAGAACCCAUCUUCUAAAACUUAAAUUCUCCUGCACUUCAGGUAAAGAGGCAAAUUUAAUGUACUUAGCUUCGGAAAGUAUGCAACUUAGAAAAUUUAAAAUAAUUUCUCACUAAAUCAAAUUAAGUAGCUUCUUGUAAAGUGAAGACACCCCACCUUAAAAACCUUGCUCAAAAUAUAAGCCACAGUCUCCCUCCACUCUUGAAUUAUUACUUCUGUAUUUUCAAAGCUAUUCAGCAAUGCACAGUGGUGUAAGUGUAAGCUUACGGAUAAGCGUAAGCUUACUUAGUUCCUAAUUCAAGAUGCAGCAAUGACGAAAAUCAAUUUUAAGCUGUUUGUGAGCAAAUACAAACAUGGGGGUAGGUUAUCACAAAGUCAUAAUAGAUACUUAUUAUAGUCUGUUCAUCAGAAAUCAAAAUGAUGUUUCUCUUAAGGUAAAAAAAAACAAAAAACAAAAAACAAA